rnacentral:rRNA from 1 species
AAAUGAAUAGACGGGGACUCGCACAAGCGGUGGAGCAUGCGGUUUAAUUCGAUGCAACGCGAAGAACCUUACCAGGUCUUGACAUACUGUUGCUGGGGUUAGAGAUAAUCCGUUUCUUCGGAACAACAGAUACAGGUGGUGCAUGGUUGUCGUCAGCUCGUGUCGUGAGAUGUUGGGUUAAGUCCCGCAACGAGCGCAACCCUUAUCAUUAGUUGCUAACAGUAAGAUGAGCACUCUAAUGAGACCGCCGGCGCAAGCCGGAUGAAGGUGGGGAUGACGUCAAAUCAUCAUGCCCCUUAUGACCUGGGCUACACGCGUGCUACAAUGGCUAGUACAAAGAGUUGCGAAGCCGCGAGGUGGAGCUAAUCUCACAAAGCUAGUCUCAGUUCGGAUUGUAGUCUGCAACUCGACUACAUGAAGUUGGAAUCGCUAGUAAUCGUGAAUCAGCAUGUCACGGUGAAUACGUUCUCGAGUCUUGUACACACCGCCCGU